GUCUACGGCCACACCACCCUGAACACACCCAAUCUCAUCUGGUCUCAGAAGCUAAGCAGAGUCGGUCCUGGUUAGUAAUUGGAUGGGAGACAGACCUUCAGAGGAGACUGCUCAGAGACA
rnacentral:rRNA from 1 species